rnacentral:rRNA from 1 species
GGCUCAGGAUGAACGCUAGCUACAGGCUUAACACAUGCAAGUCGAGGGGAAACGACAUCGAAAGCUUGCUUUUGAUGGGCGUCGACCGGCGCACGGGUGAGUAACGCGUAUCCAACCUGCCCACCACUUGGGGAUAACCUUGCGAAAGUAAGACUAAUACCCAAUGAUAUCUCUAGAAGACAUCUGAAAGAGAUUAAAGAUUUAUCGGUGAUGGAUGGGGAUGCGUCUGAUUAGCUUGUUGGCGGGGUAACGGCCCACCAAGGCGACGAUCAGUAGGGGUUCUGAGAGGAAGGUCCCCCACAUUGGAACUGAGACACGGUCCAAACUCCUACGGGAGGCAGCAGUGAGGAAUAUUGGUCAAUGGGCGAGAGCCUGAACCAGCCAAGUAGCGUGCAGGAUGACGGCCCUAUGGGUUGUAAACUGCUUUUAUAAGGGAAUAAAGUGAGCCUCGUGAGGCUUUUUGCAUGUACCUUAUGAAUAAGGACCGGCUAAUUCCGUG